rfam:Danio rerio chromosome 7, GRCz11 reference primary assembly.
ACAAAGGCUCUUUUAAGAGCCACCCAUAUCUCUUUAAAAGACCGAU